AGGUCUUCAACUUGAACUCUUAUCUUCUAUAACAUAGACAUUAUAAAACCCAUAUUUAUGAUUCAUAGUAUAGUGAGAAUCACAUCAGAAGCUAUCAACUUUCCAGAGUUCAUUAUCAUCUCUUUGGGGGAAAAGAAAAAGGUUAUUUUACAAAUGUAUGACAGCACUUGCAGGAGGAAGAAAAAUAUCUGAUCAAAUUUUGUAUUUAUAACAGUAAUUGAAGAAGCAUUUUAUGUUGUUUUUUAACAUAGAGUAUCUACCUCACCAGAUCAUAAGAAGGAGAUUCAACAGGUAUAUAGAACUGAUGCGGUUUUAUCCAGCUUCCUUCACUCCAUACAGACCAAGCCGUCUCACAAGGCUGAGGAAGAAGUUUCUGAUGCAUUCAGUUCUGGCUUUUGUAUUUGAGCCAUCAGGAUUCUAUGAAAGGGAAACUGACAUCAGAGGGACCAUCAAAGUAAUUCUUGGCCAAAGAGUUAGCAGUCCUCCUGACUUCCAUUCUGUUUCUGUUUUCAGAAGUGCUAGGCAAAUCAUGAUUUUUUUAAGAAAGAGUCAUUGUAUUUUGUGUCAAUCAUUUCUAUUAUCUCCUAGACCAGUAAUAAAAUAAUGUGCAAUUGAAUUAGAUCUUCUAGACAUGAUAAAUUUAUACUUUAAAUUCGUAUAACUAGAAGCUCUCUAUGCCAAACAUGGAGAAAGAAUCUCUUAUAAAACACUCAACAAAUGUUUCUCUGACCUUUGUUUUAAUUAUUUUCUCCCUCUACUGUCUAGGGUAAGUGGGGGUCAGGAGGGGCUAACAUUGGCAUGAGGGCUAUGCUUUGGGCACGUGGUCUCUCAGAUCUCUAAAAGGUUCACCAUCACUUGUGUAGAGUUUUGUAUUGGCUUAUAUGAAUGAAGAAAUGAAUUAACUUGUUUUAGUGUUAACAAGAAUUAAUUUUACACACAAUAGCAUAUUAAAUUAUUUGUAUAACCUGAAGAUGUAUCUCCUUUUUUUGAGGAUGAAUUAAAAAAAAUCUGAGAUCUGCAGGCUUUCAAAUUAUACUUGAUACUUUAACUGAUACAUUGGCAAUGUAUAAUUUUUGUGAUCCUUCUGCUACAACUGCCUCCUUCACUUUUAUUUAUUAUAAUAAAAUGGCUUCAUACCUGUGGCA
ensembl:lncRNA